AGCGCCUCCUAAAGAAAUUUGGGCAUCAUGGUCGGAAACGCCAUUGAUGAAUGUGGUCAAAUUCAGGGAAACCUAAAGGUUAAUGUUUUGGUGAUUUCUACGGUGAUCGCCAUCCCCAAACCCAGGGCAAUCCUGAGCCAAACUCUAUUAUCCUCAGAUAGAGAAGGUGCAGAGACUAGGUGUUGGGAACGAGGCAUUUCAUACUAAAACCAUCCCACAACAUAACGGCCACCACCUACGGAAAUUUUCAAUCCAAUAUUUCUAUGGUGAAGAGAUAGUCCAGAGAGUCGGGGAAACCCACAC
rnacentral:ncRNA from 1 species